rnacentral:rRNA from 1 species
AUUGAACGCUGGCGGCAGGCCUAACACAUGCAAGUCGAGCGGUUGACGGGAGCUUGCUCCCUGAUUCAGCGGCGGACGGGUGAGUAAUGCCUAGGAAUCUGCCUAUUAGUGGGGGACAACGUUUCGAAAGGAACGCUAAUACCGCAUACGUCCUACGGGAGAAAGCAGGGGACCUUCGGGCCUUGCGCUAAUAGAUGAGCCUAGGUCGGAUUAGCUUGUUGGUGAGGUAAUGGCUCACCAAGGCGACGAUCCGUAACUGGUCGGCGAGGAUGAUCAGUCACACUGGAACUGAGACACGGUCCAGACUCCUACGGGAGGCAGCAGUGGGGAAUAUUGGACAAUGGGCGAAAGCCUGAUCCAGCCAUGCCGCGUGGGUGAAGAAGGUCUUCGGAUUGUAAAGCACUUUAAGUUGGGAGGAAGGGUUGUAGAUUAAUACUCUGCAAUUUUGACGUUACCGACAGAAUAAGCACCGGCUAACUCUGUGCCAGCCGCCGCUGUAAAAC